rnacentral:rRNA from 1 species
ACGCACGCUGGCGGCGUGCUUAACACAUGCAAGUCGCACGGAAAGGCCCUGCUUUUGUGGGGUGCUCGAGUGGCGAACGGGUGAGUAACACGUGAGUAACCUGCCCUUGACUUUGGGAUAACUUCAGGAAACUGGGGCUAAUACCGGAUAGGAGCUCCUGCUGCAUGGUGGGGGUUGGAAAGUUUCGGCGGUUGCGGAUGGACUCGCGGCUUAUCAGCUUGUUGGUGGGGUAGUGGCUUACCAAGGCUUUGACGGGUAGCCGGCCUGAGAGGGUGACCGGCCACAUUGGGACUGAGAUACGGCCCAGACUCCUACGGGAGGCAGCAGUGGGGAAUAUUGCACAAUGGGCGGAAGCCUGAUGCAGCAACGCCGCGUGCGGGAUGACGGCCUUCGGGUUGUAAACCGCUUUCGCCUGUGACGAAGCGUGAGUGACGGUAAUGGGUAAAGAAGCACCGGCUAACUACGUG